UACGUAGGGGGCGAGCGUUAUCCGGAAUUAUUGGGCGUAAAGCGCACGCAGGCGGUCUGUUAAGUUUUGGAGUGACAGUUGACGGCUCAACCAUCAAAAGUACUUCAAAAAACUGGUAGACUUGAGAACGAGAGAGGAACAUGGAACUCCAGGUGUAGUAGUGAAAAUGCGUAGAUAUCUGGAAGAACACCAAUGGCGAAGGCAAUGUUCUGGCUCGUUUCUGACGCUCAGGUGCGAAAGCCAGGGGAGCGAACGGG
rnacentral:rRNA from 1 species